GCUGCCUCUGUUCCACUACUUUUCUUAUUCUGAUUAAUAAUUUCCUCUUCCCAGGAUAAAAAAUGGCAACCCCCUUUCUCCCCUUCUUCCUCAUGGCCCUGCUCCCAGGUGUUUUCUCCCAGGUCACGCUAAAGCAAUCUGGGCCAGAGACCGUGAGGCCAGGAGAAACACUUGAGCUGACCUGUACAGUCACUGGUGUCUCCGUCACAAGCGGCUACCGGUGGGACUGGGUACGGAUGAGACCUGGGAAAGGGAUUGAAUGCAUGGGGUAUUGGGUGGGGACCACAAUGUAUGCUCCAUCUUUACGCAACCGAAUCACCAUCUCUGUGGAUCCUUCCCGAACCAAGUACUUUCUCAGAUUGAGCUCUGUGACAGCUGCAGACAACGCUGUGUAUUACUGUGCGAGGUACACAGUAGGAGGAACUGAAGCAGAGGCUGGCACAAAAAGGGGGAAGUGGUUAGAAAAUAGAAACCCACUUCAAGAACCUUGA